GGUAUCAACUAUUUGCAGUUGUGAAACAUUUCGGAUUCAGACCUACUUCUGGACACUAUGUUUGCUACAUUCGAUCCUCUCUUAAUAUGUGGCAUAAGAUGAAUGAUUCAAGGGUUACUUGUGUUGAAGAAGAAGUUGUGCUGUCCCAGGAAGCCUACAUUUUGCUCUAUGCUGAAAAGGGUAUACCUUGGUUUUCAUCUGCAAUAGAAGUGCAAAAGCCUUGUGCAGACUCUGGAAUUUCUGAUUCUUCACCAAAGUCCUAGACGACAUAGACUUUGCCUCCAAUCUUGAGGUGGAAAAGAGUGCCAAUUGCAACGCCAAUGAAAUUAGAUGUUGCUGAUAGAGCUUCAACUCAAUUCUCUUGCGAUGUGUAUAGUCAUAGGCAGGUUCAACUAGUCGUUUCUCAUAUGUAUUAUUUAUUUUAGUUUUGAUUCUAAAUUUUUAUUUUUACUUUAAUAUUUACAACAACUUGAGUUCUA